CCCUUAGAUGUUCUGGGCUGCACGCGCGCUACACUGAUGCGCUCAACGAGUUUUAACCUUGCCUGGAAAGGUUGGGUAAUCUUUUUAAAACGCAUCGUGAUGGGGAUAGAUUAUUGCAAUUAUUAAUCUUCAACGAGGAAUUCCUAGUAAGCGCGAGUCAUCAGCUCGUGCUGAUUACGUCCCUGCCCUUUGUACACACCGCCCGUCGCUACUACCGAUUGAAUGGUUUAAUGAGAUUUUCGGACUGGAGCCGGGCCGGGCCGGCAACGGUGCGGCUUUUGUGCUUCGGGAAGUCAAUCUAAUUGAAUCAUUUAGAGGAAGUAAAAGUCGUAACA
rnacentral:rRNA from 1 species